AUUGAACGCUGGCGGAAUGCUUUACACAUGCAAGUCGAACGGCAGCACGGGUGCUUGCACCUGGUGGCGAGUGGCGAACGGGUGAGUAAUGCACCGGAACGUAUCCAAUAAUGGGGGAUAACGCACCGAAAGGUGUGCUAAUACCGCAUACGCCCUGAGGGGGAAAGCGGGGGAUCGUAAGACCUCGCGUUAAUGGAGCGGCCGAUGCCGGAUUAGCUAGUUGGUGAGGUAAAGGCUCACCAAGGCGACGAUCCGUAGCUGGUCUGAGAGGACGACCAGCCACACUGGAACUGAGACACGGUCCAGACUCCUACGGGAGGCAGCAGUGGGGAAUUUUGGACAAUGGGCGCAAGCCUGAUCCAGCCAUUCCGCGUGAGUGAAGAAGGCCUUCGGGUUGGU
rnacentral:rRNA from 1 species